UACGAAGGGUGCAAGCGUUACUCGGAAUUACUGGGCGUAAAGCGUGCGUAGGUGGUUUUUUAAGUCCGGUGUGAAAGCCCUGGGCUCAACCUGGGAAUGGCAGUGGAUACUGGAAAGCUAGAGUGCGGUAGAGGGUAGUGGAAUUCCCGGUGUAGCAGUGAAAUGCGUAGAGAUCGGGAGGAACACCAGUGGCGAAGGCGGCUACCUGGACCAGCACUGACACUGAGGCACGAAGGCGUGGGGAGCAAACAGG
rnacentral:rRNA from 1 species